rnacentral:rRNA from 1 species
CGAAGGGGCUAGCGUUGUUCGGAUUUACUGGGCGUAAAGCGCACGUAGGCGGACUUUUAAGUCAGGGGUGAAAUCCCGGGGCUCAACCCCGGAACUGCCUUUGAUACUGGAAGUCUUGAGUAUGGUAGAGGUGAGUGGAAUUCCGAGUGUAGAGGUGAAAUUCGUAGAUAUUCGGAGGAACACCAGUGGCGAAGGCGGCUCACUGGACCAUUACUGACGCUGAGGUGCGAAAGCGUGGGGAGCAAACAGGAUU